rnacentral:sRNA from 1 species
GAAGUCUUCUUUGCCUGAAAGAAGAAGAAGAAGACGGUUUAUCUUCGCUCUUUGUGAUUCGAGUUUCUCUUGGAUGUCAAUCUAUUCACUUUCUGGACGGAGGAGACACUAAUUGAGGACAAAUCUUUAUCAUUUUGCACUUGUAAUGGAGAAAGAUGGAGAAGAUUGUUUUCUUUCUACAAGUUUCUGAAGCAAGAGCCUCAUGAAUUCCUGAGGACCAUGAAACAAGAGGGAACCCUACUUUUAAAAGGAAAGAAACAUUGGCAAUCCUCAUCUCUGGAUUUCUAUCAAAUUUGUUUUUCUUCCUUUCUUCUGUGGUAUUGAGGGUUUUGUACUUCCGCUGGAUUACGAGAGGGCACUCAAGUUUUCAAAGGAGUACAUUGAUGAAGUUUGCGCCUGAAUGGGAAGAAUAAUUUCUCACAUCCAAUGUGUGAUGGCUGCUAUAGUUAUGAGACAAGUUCUUAAACAGACCGUAAAAGAAGGGAAUGCAUCAACGACCUUUUAGCAUGAAUAGUUAGUCUCCCCGGGGAUAAGGAUUGAUCAUAGUAGAGGUAUAUCGUUACUCUGAAAAUAUUUCACAACUCAUUUGUUUUUUUGCAUAAACAUAACUCCAAAUUUCAGAAGAUAUGAGAAGUUUGAUGUUCCAAUGGCCUACACUAUAGAGCAACAAUUAUUUAUGUUGGAAUAGCUUGGUCUGCAAGUUUUUACCACUACCAUUUGUUCUUGACUUCUUUCAUGGGUUUUGGUUAGUAUAUGCAGGUAACAAUUACUUUUCUUUUUGUUGAGCUCAAAUAUAUACCACUCAUCAUAAAUACUGAUUUAUGGUUUUUUCCUUCCACGUUCGGUGUUGAGGGAUUUGUUCUUCGGUUGGUUUACAAGAGGGAACUUUACUAUGAAAAAGGGAAGAAGCUUGGGAAAAAAAGAACAAGAGAAGAUCAUGAUCAGCUAAAGUUGAGUAAUAUUGAUUUUUUUAAUGAAUUAUGUUACUAUUCUGCAUCGUCUCUCCAUUUGAAUCUUGAGAUUGAUUUAAGUGUAUUAAAAUGUGUUUACAUUGGGACCUCAGAUAGAGUAUACUGGAGGGAGCUACUGAUUCAGAAGAUGCUCAUCACAAAGACUUCCUUUACGCUUGUUAGACAAUAGACACCAAUUUUCUUUUCUUUCAGUUUAAUUUUCUUAUUUGUUUGGUUGUCGGAUCAGAUUAAAAGAUACCACGAACUCUCCUAAAAAAACCGGAGUAUACUUUUCAACUGCAAUAGCAGGAGCAGAUUGAUGAUUGUGAAGCAUGAACCCGAGUAUUGGAAAUAUGUAGAGGAAGGAUAAACCUGAGAGAGACACUACUUUGCCAACCGAGAUAUGCCAGAAACUUGAAGACCAUUUGAGCUAGUGAGAUCAAUUAGAGGACCAGAUUCAUCCAAUCAUUGAUAAGUGCCAGUACCAACCUGAUAAACGAGAUACAGCAACAUCUAUGUCAGCCCACAAAGCACGAUGAGUACUUGAUCAGCCUCUUCCACAUCCAGUUUCACGAACCCGGAAAAUCUGCAUCCCAAAACAAAAUAUCGGUGCAUUCAUGCAUACAUCCAUACAUGCAUUCAUGCAUACAUCCAUACAUGCAUUCAUGCAUACAUCCAUACAUGCAUUCAUGCAUACAUCCAUACAUCCAUACAUGCAUUCAUGCAUACAUCCAUACAUGCAUACAUUUUAUACAUUCAUACAUGCAUACACAUGCAUAUAUAUUUGCUUUCUUGAUUUAUUG